rnacentral:lncRNA from 1 species
UGGGAUCCCCUUUUUGUUUUUUUUUUUUCCUCAUGCGGGGAGAGCAAACCCGCCGCUUAUAUUUAAAAAGAAAAAAAAAUGGAGAAAAAAAAAUUAAUAUUAUGAAGUCCCCACUGAAAUUUUGGGGGGGGAAACAAAAGGGUCCUGCGGACAAAGCGAGCUUGGGAGCCUGGUGCAUUUUAGGGACUGAUCGUGCGAAGCGUUUUUAACGACCUGUUGUUUCGAUUUGUGACGGUUUUAAUGAUGUUGCAUCAAGAUAAAAACUUAUAUUCAACUAGAGCCUGGGUCGGGUUUUCUCUCAACUUUUGGGGUGUCCUGCAGCAUCGGGGUUUUGUUUGGGGGUUGUUUAUCCUUCCCUUUGAUUCCCAGUGCUGAUGCAAAACCUUCCCCAAGCUCCUGCUGAGAUAAGUCCGGUGUUGAGCGGCGCCUUUGGCUUUUCACUUUUCCUGCCUUUUUUGUUUUUGUUUUGUUUUUAUUUUUUUUUUCAGCCGGGUUCUGGGUGUUUUUGGUUUUCUUUCCCGGCUGGAGGGUCCCGGAGACCUUCAUCCCUGCAGCUGCUGGAAAUUCAGGGGAUCCAGUUUGGUUCCAGCUUGUCCGACACCGUCCCGAUGAGCCGCUGGCUUGAUUUUCAACGGUUUGUCCCAAAGCUGCUCUGGUGUUCACACAAAUCCUGACAUCUCCACAAAUCCUGACAUCUCCACAAGCUGAGAACUCCAGUCCUGGGGUAGAAGCAUGUUGGGCUGCUGGGCAUGGAAGAAUCUGGGGUAAUUUCACUUAAAAAGCAGGAAUUAAUUCAAAUCUCAGCCAAAAUAAUCCUGGACAAAAAAAAAAAAAAAUCUUGGAUUUGGCUCCGAGCUCAGGGCUGAGCCACUGUAAGCAGAGUCUGGGCUCGGUUUGGAGCUGGAAUUUUUUGGCUUGAGCGGAUCUUUAUAUUCUGGCUCGGCCAGAGUUGGAUUUUUGCACUUCCCUCCUUUCCAUGCUCUGGGUCUGCCUGCCUCCUCAGUAUUCCCACAUCCCAGAGACAAAAACACUGCCCUGCCCAUAUUAUAUAAAAAUAUAUUUAUAUAAAAUAAAUUUCUCCAUUUAUCACCUUGGUAGAACAGAGCUCUGCCAUGGGAUCAUGGCUUUGGCACUGCACGGCUCAUCCUGAAGGCCGGAAUUUUUUCCAGCUCUCAGCCUUCCCCCAGCCAGUGCAUCCCAGUUCCACUGAUGUCAUCCCUAAACUCAGCAGGAAGUGAGGUCCUUCCCGAAAUCCAGGACAUGGAAAACUCUCUGCAUAACACGUACAGCACCACAGCUGGGAUUUUAUCCUGAAUUCCUUGGGUUUGGGUGGGUUUGCUGCUGUGGGAAUUGGGAUGCAGGUAGUUGGACCCAGAAUAUGGAUGUGGGAUGCAGGAGGAGGGAUAUGGGAUGCAGGAGGUGGGAUGCAGGAUGCGCAGCUACAGGACAGCAGAUGUGGGAUGGAGGUAGUAGGAU